GGAGCACUGUGAGGGGAGGCGGAGGGGGAGAGGAGCACUGUGAGGGGAGGCGGAGGGGGAGAGGAGCACUGUGAGGGAGGUGGAGGGAGUGAUGGAGCACUGUGAGGGGAGGUGGAGGGAGUGAUGGAGCACUGUGAGGGGAGGCGGAGGGGGAGAGGAGCACUGUGAGGGAGGUGGAGGGAGUGAUGGAGCACCGUGAGGGGAGGUGAGGGGGAGAGGAGCACUGUGAGGGGAGGCGGAGGGGGAGAGGAGCACUGUGAGGGGAGGUGGAGGGAGUGAUGGAGCACUGUGAGGGGAGGCGGAGGGGGAGAGGAGCACUGUGAGGGAGGCGGAGGGAGUGAUGGAGCACUGUGAGGGAGGUGGAGGGAGUGAUGGAGCAGCAGCACCAUCUCAGCGUUGUACAGUGCUGUUAUCUCAUUGCGUCCAUAUGAAUGAAGCACAAAGGAUUCUGCAUCUAAAGGAGAUUCACAGUCGACCGUCGUUCUUUAACAGACACGUUGUUGUUGACGCAGACAGAAGCAAACAAAAGACCUCGUAUGUUAAAGCAUAAAAUGCUGAAUUCAAGAACCAUCCAUUGAAUGUUCUCAUUUACUGGACUGGACUGUUUUACAUGUUUUGCUCUUAAAAAGAGAAAAAAGCUGCCAAGUUUAGUCUACAUGUAUUAAUUGGUAUCAAUUGCUGUCAUUGGGUCUGUUUUUAGGUCUGUGCUCACAUCCGAUGGUGCAUUAAUCAUAAUGGAGCCACAGAUAAAGCUUGGUUAAUGUUUAUCCAUCUAUAAACUGACAACAGGUAUAGAACAUAGAAGUGAAAUAUGAGCAUAUGAGGACAUUUGACAAUUCUUAAAACUAUCUUGUGAUAAUCAAACUGGAGGCCUGAGCAAAUAAUCCAAACCAAACCAUGUAGUAUUGCAUUGAACUCUGUAUCCUGGGGAGUUCAGAAGGAGAGGAGAGGCAGUAGCGUAGGGCUGAAGGAUUCAUGGGGCCCAGAGCUGGACUGGGCCCCCGACUCAUGCUGGGAGUUAUUAACCUUUGAGAUGUCAAACCCCUUUGUCCCGUGUUCAGUUUCUGAGACCUUCUGUCAGCUGCUUAGUUGACACGUGUGGCGGGUUUGGUGAGGGAAAGAGGAACUGUACUGUAGGAUAAAGCACCAUGGCAAUGGAGCGCGGGGGAGGGCGGGGGGGGGGGGGUUUGGAGUAGGCGGAUUUGUUGGUGAUCCGGUUCAUACACGGUCAAAGUUUAAUCACAACGCUCCUGUUCAGCGGAGUGCGUCACGAGCUCAGACCGUGAAAUGGAGGCGGCAUGACAGAGUUAUUUAACCACACCAGUCACCAAAACCAAAUCCACAGCUUAGCAGGGUGGUGCUAGAACCACUACGUGGACAUAAAUCCCAGCAACUGUCACUUUGUAACAGAGUGAAAGGAUGUCACGACAAGAGGUGGCCACCUCGCCCUGAACCAAACUACUACUACUAUUACUACUACUACCGCACUGGAACAGGCAGUACAUUUAAACACAAUGCCAGCAUACGUAUAAAGAAUAUUACCGAACAGAACACCUGACUCACAGUCACUGAAUUGAAAGACUGUAUCGCUCGGUAUUUCGCUCAGGUACUUUGGAAUCACUCCCCGGCAGUUACACAAAACUGUGGAGACUGUUCCAGGUUCCACCUUGUCACAUGAAGAACACGGGGACAUAACAGGAUUGAUAUUUAAUGCUUGGCAUGAGCACUAAUGAACACGCACAUGCGUGUUGCAUAAUAAAUACACCUGAAGUGGGCGCAAAAGGGUUAAUACACGAGGCCCUGCGCCUUCCAACGGACGCUUUCUGACGCAGCUUUUGACGGAUUCGUGCAUCUUUUUUAAGCCAGUACCAUCGCUGCACCUUACCUGGGAGAACCCAAUGCAACAGUAACGAUGGGUUCCCACAAAGCGACAACAGGGUAGACAAACAGCUACACCAAAGCACCUGAGGGCCCAGCAGAGCAAAACGUGACUUGUCCCGCAUCACUAACAUCCCUCAAACUCGACUUGAUCGUUUCCAGUUCGAUUCUUAUCAUUUCAGUAGUAACUAGUAGAUGUUAACAUGGGAACAUUACUCACCCUAGCUUCACCAAAGGUGUCCACAUCAGACCCAGCAGAAUGCAGUGAAGUAGUUACUGCAGAACACACUAUCGUCACCCCACAUCCAUGCUCGCUCCAGCAAACAAUGUCUAAGAUCAAACAAAAAGCUCCUCAGUCCAUCAAUGACUCCUCAAGAUUAACUGUAACAACAAAAACGAUCUUAGCUUCCCAAAUGCACAAAAAAGUUGUUCCUGCCAUGUGAGCAAUAAUCAAUAAUAGGAAUGGAAGCCAAAACAACAAAAUAUGUUUUUUUGUUGUAACCAUUCAAUCCUGUCGACGUUGAAUAGAGACCGCUGUGUGGUGUUCUGACCUUCAGGUUGCACCGUACCUCAAAGUUGGAUUUUAUUUUUACUAAAGAUGACAUGAACCUCACCAUUGUGAUACAAAGUGGCACCUCGCGGGGAGGACCUACAGACAUGCUUUGUGUUGGUCGACUGUGGAAGUCUGCGGCUGGGUCGGGUAAAUAGGUCGGAGGUACGAUAGAGUUGGCCUCCGUCCACAAUGACCCACAGAGAGAUGAGACUCUUUCAUUCCACUGACAAAAGUGUCGCGGCUCUUUUUAUUCCAGCAUGAAAUCUGAUCGCUGGGGAAAAGAAGUCCCCAAACAUUGGGCUGCUCUGUGAUAGGGUCAUACAGUCAGAGGACGUUUUAGUGCCGUCGUCCAUUUGUGUCAAUGACCAGGCAGGUUUUUCAAGGGACAGCUUACGGUUUGAUCUCAUUAGGAUGUCAAAAGCAUCACAGAAUAUUUAUAUGGAAAAGUCUUUCAUAUAAAUACUCUUUUCACACGUCCAUCGUUCUGUAUGUCUCCGCUAAGAAGGAGGAGGAUGGAGGACGUCCACGUUGGUCCAGUAAGAGGACUUUUCUUGCCAUGGUGACGCACCCAUAUCACCUUUCAAAUGGCACAAAGCUGGAGCGAUUAACCUGGCUUAAUUAGAAAUACAAUAACCUGCCGAUGACAAAAGUGCGAGGCGUCUUUCAGCGGCGGUCGGGACCAGUGACGAUGGAGAGGAGUACAGGGAUUGACUCCGGGGGUCCGCUCAUCAACUCCCCCCGCAGAAGCAAAUGUUGGUGCAAGAAACAGCCCGAGGAGAAGAGGAGCGACAGUAACAUCACAUAACGAAUGUUAUACUUUCAACCAAUACUAAAACUGCAUCGUUAACAUUUCCGGAUGCGCACAAACUGCUAUGAAAGUCAAUGGUACCCACGAGGGCGAUUCGCGUCUACAGAGAACCAAAGGAAGCAGAAAAAGUGGAGCAGGCGGUGCCACGUGCGUCUCUCCCGGGUGGAGGACUUCCACCGACUGCACCGGUCAUUUUCUGCCCCGGGAUCCUGUAGCAUCUCAACCAGCGGCCCUUUGGACCCCCCCCCCACCGCCCCUGCUUCCAGGCUAAAUGUGCGCCUCAGAGAAGGGUGCAAACCCCGCUCUUUUCCAGCGGAUACUUCAGCAGCGCGGGCUGGUGUGGAGAGGGAGAAGAAGGUGGACGUACCAGGUGGCACUACACUUGAAAACCUCAUUAUGUUUUUCAGUGACACAAUGCGGGAGACGAGGUGGUGGAGCGGAGGACAAAGGAAAAGCUUCUACCUCACUUCCCUUCACCUUGCGCGCUGUGGCCUGGGAGAAAAAAAACACGAAUAAGCAGAGAAAUUUAUUGCAUUGCAAAAAAAAAGAGAAACGUGUGUGGAAAUCAGAAGAAAUAAAAGCAGGACGACUGCAGGCAGAAACAAACGCUUCCGUCUUACACGCUGAUUAGCAUGUUGCCUUUUGUGACUUCUGCACUUGUGUGCACUCCACAGAGGGCAGGGGGGGGGGGGGGGGGGCUCAAGCAUUCAGACAACUUCAACUCUUAGUUUAACACUUGGUUUUUUGAGAUCCCCCCCCUCCCCUCGGCGGCGCCCCCCCAGAAUCCCCUGCACCCGAGUGACAGACAAUGCUCAUUUAAAACACAAAAGCACAUAGACUCUCAUUCAGACUACAGCUGCCCUCUUUCAGACCGGUAUUCUAAAGCCACUUUCUGUUGUCCCCUGCUCAGGUUUUUCCCCUACGGAGGGAAAUAAAGCUGGGCCCCGCAUUUUGGUGUGAGGGGAGAGAGAAGGGCUCGCCUGUGUGGAAUAAAGAGAAGCCAAGAAGAAAAAGGGCUCUCCACCGGAGAGGACACCUUAGAGGUGCACCUUUUUCCUUUCUCGCUUUGUCCGGGGCAGUUGGCUGGAAAGAUGGUGGGGAGAAGGUAGGAGGGGACAACAUCAUGCAAGUGGGCGACUAAUGUGUGUAUGAAGGAUUCUUUGAUAACGCCGGAGCAUCUGUUGAUCCCCAAUGAGCUUUUUACGCCCUCUUUUUCUCCCCCGAAAAGUCCCAAAUUUGGCACCUCGCAGGUGAGCGCCUGGCGUGCUCCCCGGCCCGGCCCGGCCCGGCCCGGCCCGGCCCGCUGGCUGGGCGCGAGGGGCUGUUUGCGGUUGAAAGGUAAGCCCAGCUGACUUUUGGAAGGUGUGGGGGGGACGAGGGGUCAUUGCAUUGGAGGGGUAAUGUUUGCGUUUGCUUUUGCUGCUGUGAGACCCUGCAGGUGGAGCAGGUGGGGCGGGCGGAGCAGGUGCAGGUGGAUGUGCGCUCGUGGUUUUGCUCGCCGCGGUUUGUCACGUUGGGAUUAAACAAAUUCAGUUUGCUUUCUUCUUGCAAAAAGAAGAUUAUUAGAAGAUUAUAUAUAUUUAUAUACAUAAAUAUAUACAUACAAGCCUUGGUGAUUGGUUGAUUUCUUUAUUCGUGCUCAGAUGUUUGGAAAAAAUGGACAUUGCUCAAAAGAAAAAGGUUGACUUUAAUGAGAUAAAAAAAAACAUGCCUAUGGUGUGCAAAAGCUUUAUGCAUCUGCAAAAAAACAGAGGAAAAACGUACAUCUUUAUAGCUCUAUAUUUAUAAACAAUUUUCAAGCAUCAUCUAAAAAUAUUGCAAUAAUAUUUUGGCAAAUUGUUUUAUUUUAGUUUUAUUGUUUUGCGGAAAUCGAUUUUGUGACAUUUUGAAUUUCUAUUCAUAAUUAAGAGUAAAAGAAAUAUGAAAUGUAGAUGUAGAUACUAUUUGUGUUAAAAUAAUGUGUUUAAUCCAGCAAACUUAUAUAAAUUACACAUAUAAAGUGCGGAUCGUAGUGAGUGAUUUAAGGCUUCUUAAAGGCCUUCAGUAACACGGAAACACUUAAAAAAAUUAAAAGAAUACAAAUUCAGGAAUCAACCUUAAAAUGAAUAAAACUAUAUUGUCUUCAUGAACAGGAAACAUGAUUACAAACAUCAUGUGUGUGUUUGUGGUGGGAGCAGCACACGCGUGUGCGUCCCCGUGUCCUGUUCUCCGUGUUGCUUUGAGGGAACAAAGUCCACACGUUUCACACGGAUUGUUUGCUCCUAAACAAAUUCAUUACCGUGUCUUUGCCUAAAUCAGAUGGGAUGAAGAAUAUUUGAUUCAUGAUUGCAUCCAAAACUAAUCUAUAAAAUUUAGUUAGUUCCAUCUUUAUUUAAAUGGUUUCCCCCAAAAUGGUGCAGAUUUUCAACCAAUCAGAACCCGGGUAGAGGUAGAAGUUAUAAUUAUGAAACAACACCAGCACAGACAGGCUCCACUCUUACCUUUCACAAUAAAAGCAUGUUGUGUUUUGCAUUCAUCCAUCCAUUUAUUCCUGUGUGUUCAGGCCCCAAGCAUCCGAAGUCAGGCAAAGAGAGUUUAUUUUACUAUAAGACGUGCUUGAAUAAAUCAAUAAUAUCAAUAAUAAGUGUGAUAUUAACGUGAUAUCAAUAGUAAGGGUCUUGUCAUUAGAAGCACAUUGCGACGCCCUUCAAGCUGUCUGACGAGUCGCGUUGUAUUUUUUAUUACCCCUGUAAAGAGGUUAAGGGUAACUAGCAAAUUAGAUUAUAUCAGCGGUCAAUAUUGUUUAUGUGUCCAUUACAUUUCACACAACAAACAACAAAUAGUGAGCCCCGCCUUGUUUUUCCCCUCAGUCACGAACCAAACCAGAUACAAACAACAUGAGUCACCAACAUUAAGCAGCUCCGGGGGGGGGGGGCAACAUGUGGCUGUCACCUGUCAAUAAUCUCCCGCCGGCCACAAAGUCCAGUAUCCGCGUUCAGUGGGGAACACUAUCGGACUGAUAGCACCAAUGAGUGACAGACGAUCAGCUGCAGCCAACGUUACCCAGACCCGGGGGGGGGGGGGGUAACAACGCCUGGCUGCUUUUAAAGAGGAAGAGGAGGCUUUGGCGCAGAGGGGAGGGGUCCGUUUGUUUUAUGGUGGCGUGAGACACAUUCUCUUAUUGUGUGUGUGCACUAUAUCAGAACACAGGAUUUGGGUUCCCUUGCGAACUAUCUUGUCCACAUUCAAACCUCUCGUGGCUUUGCGAGGCCUGAGAUCCUGUUUCCCAGCGGAGCCACCUGACCAUGAAAAGAGUGCAUGUGUCACGUUGCCGAGGAGCCGGCAGCUGCUCCUCACAGCCGGCGAAGAAACACACCGACGACGCGCAGCCACGAGUGGCUUUGACGACGACGUGCCAGAAAAUAACGGCAACAAUCGAUGUGGAGGUUUCCGGUCAGCGGUUGGUAACGGCUGAGACCUUUCGGAGUUCAGAGGGAUCCCACGGUGACCUGGUUCAUUGUCAUCACUGAAUGUGACUGUUUCCACCAGGAAGGAGGAUAAGACCUGGGACUUGUGGGCAAAAGACGGGCGUCUUUUGUCCUUUCCCGGUUACCUUAUGACGACUCGUGAAGCGGAGCGAGUCGGUGACCCAAACACCGCCGACAGAGGCUGGAAUCUCCCCGUGUUUCUUUUCUUGGAUUAGGACCGUGGCCUCCAUGAUUAAUAUUAUGUUACAAACAAAAGCAGGUCAUCUUCUUUUAUGUAGGAAGUUCUUCUUAGGGAGGCGGGAUAUUGUUACAGAGCGUUGCUUUGAACUUGACGGCAUUCUACCGUUUUUUUAUCUGGGUAACAGGUUGCUCCGGGUAACAGCGGGGUUGCAGUUGGCCAAACAAGUGCAAAAACAGAUCUAAUUGAAGCACAGCAACAUGUCAUCUCAUGUGUUCAUUCAUAUCAUUCAAUAAAUACUUUAGUCCAUAAGACGACGGUUUGUAUCCCGUUAAAACAAAAGAAGUCACUUUUUACCUGGUCUGAAUUAUUCAUCAGCAAAGUCAACGUCCUCCGCGCUCUUUUCCUCAGCAAGCAAACUUCCGGUUAAGAUUAUUUUAAAAAAU
ensembl:lncRNA